GAAUCAUAGUACGUUUGUGUUGUGUUUGGCUAAUUCUAUCAAAAUCUUAUUUUCAAUUAGUGCCUCGGGUCACAUAAUGCCUGGAAAAGAAAUUGCGUUCGAGGUACUCCACCGUGUUGAUCUUGAGGCCCUUGGGAAACCAGUGGGGUGGCAUCCCCUUCCCAUCUGAUGCCACGACCCCCAACAUCAUGGCCCCAGCUGGGUGCUUCAUCCGGUUGAUGGAUGGGACAUCGUCAACACCAUUGAUUCGGACAAUGGAGCCAUGGUGCUUCAUCCAGGUGAUGAGGAGCUUGCCCAUGGAGAGCCAGUUCUCCUUAUUGGCCGCUGUAAGGAGCUGACGGUGACGGCAGACAUAGGACUUCAGGCCAAGGUCCAUCACGGCAUUCCUGAUAGUCCCCUCGCUGAUGUUGGAGAUCUUGGCUAUGGUGCGCAUGGAUGUGGUCAGAUCCUCCUCGAUGUUGAAGGCCACGGCAGUGAGGAAGUCCUCGGUUCUUUUGAGGUUGUGGCCAUCACUUUUGGGCCAUCUCUGGACGCUUCCUUUUUUGUCAUAGCAGGCCAGGGUGUUGGACACCGUCUUCAAAGUGGAGUUGACGAUGUCCGCGAUGUCCUUUUUCGCCACACCGGCGUGGGCCAAAUCCACAAUCCUUUGCCUUUUUGCCUCCAUUGAUUUGAAUAUUGUAUUUUUCAUUAAAAAAAAAAUUUUUACGAAGUCGGAAAGAUUACUUUGAGUCACCAAAUCUAUUUCGCCAUGUAGCCACGAAAAUCGCUCAUUUGCCCGGUAGCCGUUCACAAAGUCAAUUGUAAAUUUUGCUUACGCACACUGUAUGUAUAUCAAAAGUACGUGUCAACAAACAACUAAUGUGUUUUUCUUAUUUGUUAUAAAUUGCAGUAGUUACUUAUAACGUGGAAAGGAUGUAACAUGAUGUCUCAAAUUCUAUUAAUUUGAAAUUUCAUGGGAAAAAUGUGUUUUUUAUCUACCGUAUAUCAUCAUAUCAAAUAGUAAUGGAGUUUUUCUACACUUUCAUUUCAUCAGGUCUUGAGUUAGUUCUUGAAAACUUUAAUGAUUAUUCCCUCCACAUUUUCAUUUCAUCAGGUCUUGAGUUAGUUCUUGAAAACUUUAAUGAUUAUUCCCUCCUGAAAGCUUUACAAUUUUCUUUUUUUUCUUUGGUUUACGGUAGUUUUUCACGUUUUUCAAAAUGAAAUAUAAGAUGUGAACAAGAUAUAUUAAACACUGUGAAUAUUGUUUAAUGAUACAUUCAGAGCAUUUUUGCGCCAAAUAAGAUAGUAAUGAAGUUUAUGAAGGUUGAUAGAUAUUUUCUCUUUUAUGAAAAAUCACAUGUAAACUUUCAAUUUAGUAUUGAACAUUGUUAUAAGAAUUCUGAUUCACUUUUCCAUGCUCUAUCAAUUAAUUUGAGCAAUAUUUCGAAACUCAUGUCAUUGAAUAUGUUUUAGCGUUUCAAACUUAAACAACUACUCAUUCAGUUGAAACAAUCUAGGAUUACUGUACAUGUUCCUUUUUCCUCAAAUUUGGCUUGAUAUGCCUGGAAAGUUUUUCCACCAAGAUACUUACGGUACAUGG